GUGUUUAUUAUAUUCAUUAUCCAUCUGUUUGGUGAAAAGUCAUUUUGAAAGCUAUGGAACAGCUAUCCUAACAGAGAGGAACACAAACUAAAAACUAACGUGGGUGUCAUCGUGCUACUCCUUAAUGUCCAAAAGCAGUAAGGAAACUAUUAAAAUAACACAGUAAAACAGAUACACGAAAAAUAAAAAAUAAAACACCACAAAAUACAACACUGCCUGAGAAUUCUCUAGUUAAUAAAUCUAAUUCUGAAACAGUACUGAUUUCUUAUUAACUAUUCAUUCUGAUCAUAAAAAAAGUUCAGUCUUGUUAAGAGUUUUAAGUUAUUUUUCAUUUAUUGUCCUUCUGUAAAUUCAGUAGUAAUCAGAUAUUUCCCUGUUAGUCCAAUCUCCGGCAGUUCCAUAUGCUGUUAAUUUGUUACAAAUCAAUACCAACUACUGAACAGAGAGAUAGAAACCUGUGAGAUAUCGUCAAAGCUAUAUUGAAGUCAUUGUCGUACUAAUGUCCGUUUUUACCUUCAUAACCAAAGUAACAAACCGCAAAAAUGCAAAUGACCAUAACAAAAUACUGCAAAACUCAGGGGCAGCAACCCAAACAAUAUGUUGUCAGAUUCUUCUGAAAUCUGAUGAACAUUUUUACCCAAUGUAAGAUUUGCUCUAGAUGCUUUGGUUUCAGAGGUAUAUGUUGCACUUUGUAAAUACAGCUGUUUCUCAAAACACGCCUCUUUUGGGGAGAUCUUGAAUAUUCAUAGAAAAUUAAUUUUGUUUACAUACUGGUUCCCAGUUAUGCUCUCAGUGUUCCAUCUCACAGAGACAUAACUUGGGAAUGUUACCAGUAAAUAAACAUGUGCAUAUUGUUUACAUUGAAAUCUGUGGUAACCUUUCAUUCGAGGUAGGGGUAGUUAAGAAAAUUAGUGUUAGUAUAAACUCUGAGAAGUUCAGGGAAUAUAAACGUUGAAAAUAUGCCGCACAGCCCUAUAUUUUGACCUUUGAAAAAAAUUGUGGUGAAUAUGAACUUUCAAUUUUAGGAUAAGAUUUUUUUCAAAACUUCAUAGUAAAAGUGGUACAGUUUUAGCCGUAAAAGGAGUUCCUAUGGGAAAUUGCAUUGUCAAUUUUUACAGAAAUGCAACCUAUAAGCCAACCAGAUGCUCCACAGGGCGCAGCGUUAUACGACCGCAGAGGUCGAACCCUGAACAGUUGGGGCAAGUAUGGACACAACAUUUAAGCGUGAUACAGCUCUGAAUUUGGAUUGUGAUUAAAUAGCUGACACAACAUAGGUUUCUGACACAGAAUGAAUGUGGUCUAAGAACUUAAACUUAAAAACUUAAAAUUUUUAAAUUGGACAUUAACCUAUUAUGGUCCAAUAUCCAAAAUCUAAAUACAUGGUUAGAUUCAGCAUAUCAUAGAACCCCAAGAAUUCAAUUUUUGCUAAAAUAUAAUAAUGUUCAAUUUUAGACCCUUUAGACUUCAAUGUGGACCAAUUUGAUAACCGGGCCCAAAUACUAAAAAUCUAAAUACAUUGUUAGAUUCAGCAUAUUGAAGAACCCCGUAUAUUAAUUUUUUUUUUAAUCAAACAAAGUCUGUCCCAAGUCAGGAGCCUGUAAUUCAGUGGUUGUCGUUUGUUUAUGUGUUACAUAUUUUGUUUUCGUUCAUUUUUUUUUUUUUUUUUUUUACAUAAAUAAGGCCGUUAGUUUUCUCGUUUGAAUUGUUUUCCUUUGUCUUCAUGGGGCCUAUUAUAGCUGACUAUGCGGUAUGGGCUUUGCUCAUUGUUGAAGGCCGUACGUUGACCUAUAGUUGUUAAUGUCUGUGUCAUUUUGGUCUUUUGUGGAUAGUUGUCUCAUUGGCAAUCAUACCACAUCUUCUUUUUUAUAUUUAAUUUUUGACCCUUUGGACCUUAAUGUAGACCAAUUCGAAAACGGUACAAUACUGUGCAAUUGAAUAUUUCUUGCUAUUGCGUAAAACUAUGCAAUUGAAAAUGUCUUGCUAUUGCGCAGUAUUGUGCAAUUAGAUAUUUCUUGCUAUUGUGCAAUACUGUGCAAUUGAAGAUUUCUUGCUAUUGCACAAUACUGUGCAAUUGAAAAUUUCUUGCUAUUGCGGAAUACUGUGCAAUUGAAAAUUUCUUGCUAUUGCACAAUACUUAAUAUAAUAAUUUUGGACCCCGAUUUGGACCAACUUGAAAACUGGGCCCAUAAUCAAAAAUCUAAGUACAUGUUUAGAUUCAGCAUAUCAAAGAACCCCAAGAAUUCAAUUUUUGUUAAAAUCAAGCCAAGUUUAAUUUUGGACCCUUUGGACCUUAAUGUAGACCAAUUUGAAAACAGGACCAACCAGAUGCUCCACAGGACGCAGCUUAAUACGACCGCAGAGGUUGAACCCUGAACGGUUGGGGCAAGUAUGGACACAACAUUCAAGCUGGAUUCAGCUCUAAAUUUGGAUUGUGAUUAAAUAGUUGACACAGCAUAUGUUUCUGACACAGAAUGAAUGUGGUCUAAUGAACUUAAAAUAAUUUUUUUGCCUUUGAGCAAUUCACUAUGCUGUUGAAUAUUAAUCCUCUCAAAAAAAUGUUUGAAGAAAUUUUCUUUUUAUUUAUAAAAUC
rnacentral:lncRNA from 1 species